rnacentral:rRNA from 1 species
AACCGACACAGGUGGUCAGGUAGAGAAUACCAAGGCGCUUGAGAGAACUCGGGUGAAGGAACUAGGCAAAAUGGUGCCGUAACUUCGGGAGAAGGCACGCUGACACGUAGGUGAAGUGAUUUACUCACGGAGCUGAAGUCAGUCGAAGAUACCAGCUGGCUGCAACUGUUUAUUAAAAACACAGCACUGUGCAAACACGAAAGUGGACGUAUACGGUGUGACGCCUGCCCG